AGAACGAACGCUGGCGGCACGCCUAACACAUGCAAGUCGAGCGCACCUUCGGGUGAGCGGGCGGACGGGUUAGUAACGCGUGGGAACGUACCCUUCUCUGCGGAAUAGCCUCGGGAAACUGAGAGUAAUACCGCAUACGCCCUUCGGGGGGAAAGAUUUAUCGGAGAAGGAUCGGCCCGCGUCUGAUUAGAUAGUUGGUGGGGUAAUGGCCUACCAAGUCGACGAUCAGUAGCUGGUUUGAGAGGAUGAUCAGCAACACUGGGACUGAGACACGGCCCAGACCUCCUACGGGAGGCAGCAGGUGGGAAUCUUAGACAAUGGGCGAAAGCCUGAUCUAAGCGAUGCCGCGUGAGUGAUGAAGGUCUAGGAUACGUAAAGUCUACUUUCGCCGAGGGAUAGAUAAAGUGAACUAGUAACCGUACGGUAAAACGAAACCCCGGACUAACCUCCGUCGCCAGCACGCCGACGUU
rnacentral:rRNA from 1 species